rnacentral:rRNA from 1 species
UACGGGGGGGGCAAGCGUUGUUCGGAAUUACUGGGCGUAAAGGGCUCGUAGGCGGCCAACUAAGUCGGACGUGAAAUCCCUCGGCUCAACCGGGGAACUGCGUCCGAUACUGGAUGGCUCGAGUUCGGGAGAGGGAUGCGGAAUUCCAGGUGUAGCGGUGAAAUGCGUAGAUAUCUGGAGGAACACCGGUGGCGAAGGCGGCAUCCUGGACCGACACUGACACUGAGGAGCGAAAGCCAGGGGAGCAAACGGG